CGCGCGCCCUCGCCGGGCGCCGGGACCGGAAAAUCACCGCGAAGGGAGGGACGAGGAAAGGCGGCGGGUGGCUUCAGGACAAGCUGUGAGAUAUCGGUGGGCGAGGAUGUGAUGCCUGAAGAUGUGGCAUCUACCUUGAAACAGUCAAGGACCUGAGGAUGAAGCCAGCGUCUGAGGAAUAUAGACAGAAAGGAUCUAGAUACAUCAUGAGCCUGAAAAGUAUCUUGCAUACACAACUGGCAGCACAGAAUCCUGACAAACCUGUCAUCAGAAAUCAACCACAGACUCUUUAUGCUCUUACCAAAAUGCUGGCUUUGAGAACUAAUUAUGAAUGAAAAUUACUGAUGUGAUUUUCAGUCUAGGGAAGAAUAUCAAGUUAAACUUUAUGAAGUCCAAGACAAUGGGAAAAGAAGAGGUGUUCCUGUCCAGGCCCUCUUCCAGUUAGAAGGUGAUGGUUUCCAGAAGUCUGCACCUGUAUUUCAAUUACCUAUAAUGGAGUUUAUAGGACUAAACUAUAUUCACUA
rnacentral:antisense_RNA from 1 species